UAAUACUAGGGGUGCAAGCGUUGUCCGGAAUCAUUGGGCGUAAAGGGUGCGUAGGCGUCCGGAAAAGUUAUUUGUUAAAUCCUUCGGCUUAACCGAAGAAAUGCAAGUAAAACUAAUCGGAUAGAGUUUAAGAGAGGAAAGUGGAAUUCCUGGUGUAGCGGUGACAUGCGUAGAUAUCAGGAGGAACAUCAAUGGCGAAGGCAGCUUUCUGGCUUAAAACUGACGCUGAGGCACGAAAGCGUGGGGAGCAAACAGGAUUAGAUACCCUGGUAGUCCACGCCGUAAACGAUGAGUACUUGGUGCCGGAGGAUUCGACCCCCUCGGUGCCGUAGCUAACGCGUUAAGUACUCCGCCUGGGGACUACGACCGCAAGGUUG
rnacentral:rRNA from 1 species